rnacentral:tRNA from 1 species
GAGUAUAGUUUAUAAAAAUUCUAGUCUGUGACCCUAGUGAUGGAGACUAAUUAUCUCCUACUCACC